CUCCGUAGGGUGAACCUGCGGAGGGAUCAUUG
rnacentral:rRNA from 1 species